UACGGGGGGGGCAAGCGUUGUUCGGAAUUACAGGGCGUAAAGGGCUCGUAGGUGGCCAACUAAGUCAUACGUGAAAUCCCUCGGCUUAACCGGGGAACUGCGUCUGAUACUGGAUGGCUUGAGGUUGGGAGAGGGAUGCGGAAUUCCAGGUGUAGCGGUGAAAUGCGUAGAUAUCUGGAGGAACACCGGUGGCGAAGGCGGCUUCCUGGACCGAUACUGACGCUGAGGCGCGAAAGCUAGGGGAGCAAACGGG
rnacentral:rRNA from 1 species